CACCUAUGACAUAUAAACUUGAACCUGAUUUCUUUUUAUAAGGUUACCCGUGGCACUCUCUUAUAAAAUUUUUAGAUUAAUUUUUUCCCUUUCCCCAUCAUCUCUAGAAAACAUCAAAAAGGUUCACUCCGGCCAAAAGUUUUCAUUCAUCUGGGUUACUCGGGAUUAACCUAAAAAUAGUAUGGCUUCUAGAAAUCAAGUUAUACUUUUAUUAUAUGCAUAGGAUGAAAUGAUAAACAUAACAGAUAUUUACUUAAAACAUAAAUACAAAAAUAUGAACAUAAACUAAUAAAACAUAAAUCAGAGAUUUAUAAAUUCAUCUUUUAAAAAGAUUUACAACUAAGGAUUUCCCUUUCGGGAAGUCCCUAAAAUUCUAAAAUAAACUUAAAGAAAUACAAUAAUACCUUAAGUAUUCACAAGGAUGAUUCAGCUAUACAAUGAUUUUUUGGAUUGAGAAUUUUUCUGAGAAAGGUUUCAAAAGGUUUUUGGAUAGCAGAGAGUACACAGGUUGUAAACUUCUGCCUAAACCAAAUGAAACUUGUUCCUUAAAUAGAAAAAUUCUUGGGAGCAAAAAGUCUAAAAUAUCCUUGAAAAGAGCACACGUUUCACCGAAAAACUUCUGGCUAAUUCAGGAUAAGUCUAACAAGUGGAAAGAAAAUUUCCUACUUUUACAAAAGUCUAAAAGUCUAUAGUUUAGGAAUCUUGAAAUUUCCACUAAUUUGCUUAAAAUUCUAAAAGUUUCUGACAUCUUUUUUGAAAAUAAUCAAAAGAUCUAUAGUAUUGUGAUAAGAAUCUUCAGCUUUUCCUUCUUUUCUUCCAUCACUUUUGUCUUGUUCUGCAUUAUUGAGGAUCUGAUUAUGUACUGAGAUUAUGACGUGCCACUGAUGAAAAUGACAUUCCACUAUUUGAAUUAUUGUAUCCUUCUUCAUGUGGAUCUUCGUCUUCAUCUGAAAGUCUGGAGUUACUGGCUUCAUCUUUUUCUUUCUGAUCUGGACAUUCUGCAAUUUCUUUUUCUUCUUCAUGGCUCUUUUUUAAUAUUGUCUCGAAUGCUUGGUUAACUGCUUCUCUUAUUUGUUCUUUUAGUCCUUCAUCAUUUUUCUUCUUCUUAAUCUUUUUCUUUUUUCUAGAAGAAGUCUCUUCAUCUUUUUUAGAUUGUUUUUGGAGUUCUUCAAUUUUCUCAAAGAUCUUUUCUAAAAAAGCAGUAUCUGGAAUAGGAUCUUGUGAUUCUUGAAAAAAUAAACAUUCUUGACUAUCUUGGACUACCAUUUUUUCUUUUCCCUUACUAGAUUGAAAUUCUUGGGCUUGUGAAAGUUCUGGGUUAUUUAAAAAAUGUUCUGAGGAAAAAUGUUCUGGUGGACUAUAUUUGACUAAAUAAUCAAAUUUUCCACUGGGCUGUCCUAAGAGAUCCCAAAUCUCUUUACCUUUUUCUGUAGCAGAUUUAUCAGUCUGAUUGUCUAAUUUAGUAGAGGAAUCAACAGUCCCCUGAGUCUGUUGGGCUUUUGGUAAGUCCACAACCUUUAACGGAUUUGAUAAGUCUUUACCAGCUACCGUUUGAGCUGGACUAGCUAUGGACUUCUUGGGCUCCAUAGUACCUGUUGGAUAAUGGACUUUUAAAUCCAAGAUCUCUUUUUCUAAUUGGGCCACUUUCUUUUGAAGUUGAGUUCUUUCUAAUGAAAGGUUCUGAUUGGUUUCAUUAAUAACUUUGAAAUUUCUCUGCAUACAUUAACAAUGUUGGCAGAAAAUAUUCUGGUCUUUGCUUGGAGAAAAAUCUAAUGAAGGGUCUGAGUAAUUCUUCAAAGAAUGAGAUAAAUAAAAAUUUAUUCCUAUCUGUUGUCUUGCAACAUCUAAUGCUUCUUGAAAAUUUGUAAAGCCUUUAUAAAGAGGUUCUGGAAAAUUUUUAAUGCAAUCUAAAACUUCUAACCAAGAAUGGAAAAUUCCUGGAGUUCUUCCUUUAAUAACAACAUAAAAUUUAAACCUUUGCUUGUUCUGACUAAAAUGUUCUGAUAAUGCAUUCAUGCAUGUAAGAAAAUAUUUUUGGUCUUUUGGAUUCUUAUUAUAAGAAAUCCAUAAAUUGUCUAAAAUACAUUUCUCUUCUCUUGAUAAAGAGAUAUGUGGUAAAAUUUUAAAAGAAAUAUUACUAUUAGGAAAUACUAUAAGUUCUUGGUUUCCAAACCUUAUCCUGUCUUGUAACAUUGGUCUGUUCUGAUUAAAUGGAGUCUGUGGUAAUAGUCUUGAUGCAAAUAAAUUCCCAGGUGGAAUUCCUGGUCUUAUAGGCCUUGGCCUUGUCAUCUGUAUAAAAAAAUCAUGUUAAACAAAUUUAAUAAUUUCUAUCUAUUAUUAUUCUACUUAAUAUAUCGGUUGCUUUAUUAUCACUACCUUUAAUAUGUUCAAAUUCUAUAUUAAUUCUUGUAUUAGUGAUUCUAUCAAUAAAUUUUAACCAUCUUCUUCUACUACUUUUUAAAUCUAUUUUCAUUUUAUUGACAAAGGAAACUAUAGCUACACAACCUGUUCUUAUGGUUAUUUCUUUUUUAGAUAUAUAAAUAGUUCAAAACUGUCUAAUGCAUAAUUAAUAGCUAAUAAUUCUGCAUCUAUGCUACUUAAAUUUCCUUUCUCCUUAUAAUUUCCACUAUUAUACCUACAAAUUCUUUCUGUACUUUUAUCAGUAUAUUUAUUAGGUUUGCAAAUUAAUAUAGCUCCCCAUCCUAUCAUACUUCCAUCUGUCUCUAUAAUCAAAUAUUCUGAAUCUAAAGGCAUGGCUAAUUCUGGUAAGGUUUUUAUUUUUUCCUUUAUUUGUUGGAUUAAUUUUAUAUCUUCUUGAUUAAAAAAUCUUUGUCCUGUAGGAGAUGUCUUUGCAUAUAAAGGUCCUGCUAUUUUUCCUAAAUCUUUUAUAAAUGGUCUAGCAUAAUUUACUAAUCCUAAAAAUUUUUGGAUUUGUUUUAAAUCUUCUAAUUUAUCCGAAAAUUCUAAAGCUUUUUUAGCAAUAUGGGGUUGUAAUUUAAUUUUACCUUCUCCUAUGUUAACUCCUAAGAAAUCUAUAAAUUCUUCAAAUAAAAUCAUUUUCUUUUUACUUAUUAUUAAACCAUGUUUAAUAAAUUCUGAGAAUACUAUUUGUAAAUGUCCUCUAUGUUCUUGUUUAUUUUUACUAAAAACUAAAAUAUCAUCAAUAUAAACUAUUACAAACUUACUAUGUCUAUUAAAAAUACUUUCCAUUUUUCUUUGGAAAAUACUUGGUGCAUUCUUAAUUCCAAAUGGCAUUACAAACCAUUCAAAAUGUCCUUCUGGACAGGUAAAGGCUGUCCACUUAAUACUUUCUGCGUGCAUCUUUACUUGCCAAAAUCCUGAUUUUAAAUCAAAUUUACUAAAAAUUUUACAGUCUUGUAUUUUAUUUAUUAAAACUGUCUUGUCUGGUAUGUUAUAAGCAUCAUCUAUAGUAUUAUCAUUUAAUCUUUUAUAAUUGAUAACCAUUCUGCUUUUUCCUCUAACAAUUUCUGAAUGUUUUCUAACUAUAAAAGCUGCUGAUCUAUGAGGACUAUCUGAUUUUCUAAUAACUCCUAAUUCUAAGAGUUCUUUUAUAUGUGUUUUAAAAUCUUCUAUGUCUAAAUUUGUAGCUUCUAUAUUCUAAUUAUGUAUUCUGGAUUUUUUAUUUUUAGUUCACAUAAGAUUUUAUCUUUUUCCCAAUAUUUUAGAACAUUUUCACCUAUAAUCUCCAUCUUUUCUAAUCUAGAACAAUAAAUGAAGAAGCAUCUACAUCUAGACAUAGUACUUCAAGUAUAAGUAGAAAUAUAAUAGAAAGAGUUUUAAACAGACCAGUACAAUAUAAUCAAAACAUAGAAGAAAUCAUAGAUCCUCAACAAGACUACCAAAGAUUUCAAACUAAUGGUUUAAGAAUUCUUAAUCCAGAAAUAUUAUAUAAUAGAGGAAUCUUUGAAACGAGAACACAAUUUUUUAGACAUAGUAGAGAAGUAUCUGUUCCAUGUAUAGGAAAUCAAGUAAGAAAAUUAAACUUAAUAUCAGAAGAUUCU
rnacentral:lncRNA from 1 species